GGCUUCUUCGUGCAUAAACAAGCUCAUUGCCAUUGUUGAAUUAAUUGUUUUCUUUAAAAUAGUCGACAAAAUUGCUCUUACAAAAUUUCCAUUUGGGAGCCUCGAGCUCGAUGGGGAAAAUACUCUGCAAAUACUGACAGUUGGCAGGUAUGGUCAUCAAAAAAGUUGAUGUGUUACUACGUACAUUUACCAUUAUGUUACUUGAUGUUCUUGCUAUACACACAGUACAGAGACUAGUCAAUCUUUGUGAACUAUUUUUUAUGGGAGUCAUAGAAUAUGCAUAUACAAUCAAUAAUUAAAAAUAGUCUAUUUAUAUUGAAAAGGAAAAGUUCUUAUAUGUCUAAAGAAGAGGGACGAAAGACACCAAAGGGACAGUCAAACUCAUAAAUUUAAAGCAAACUGACAAGGCCAUGGCUAAAAAUGCAUUUCAUGGCGAGGCACAGAAAAUAUAC
rnacentral:lncRNA from 1 species